GACGAACGCUGGCGGCGUGCUUAACACAUGCAAGUCGAACGCUGAAGCUCAGCUUGCUGGGUGGAUGAGUGGCGAACGGGUGAGUAACACGUGAGUAACCUGCCCUCUUCUUUGGGAUAACGCCCGGAAACGGGUGCUAAUACUGGAUAUUCACUGAUUCUCGCAUGGGGGUUGGUGGAAAGGUUUUUUCUGGUGGGGGAUGGGCUCGCGGCCUAUCAGCUUGUUGGUGGGGUGAUGGCCUACCAAGGCUUUGACGGGUAGCCGGCCUGAGAGGGUGACCGGUCACAUUGGGACUGAGAUACGGCCCAGACUCCUACGGGAGGCAGCAGUGGGGAAUAUUGCACAAUGGGCGAAAGCCUGAUGCAGCGACGCCGCGUGAGGGAUGGAGGCCUUCGGGUUGUAAACCUCGUUCGCUCAUGGUCAAGCCGCAGCUUUGGGUUGUGGUGAGGGUAGUGGGUAAAGAAGCGCCGGCUAACUACGUG
rnacentral:rRNA from 1 species